ensembl:ncRNA K09E9.9 ncRNA
GGCGGGGAAGAAGAAGAAAAAAGAGAAGGGAGGCAUGUAGUGAAUAUUGAGAAGAGAAGGACGAAGCAUUGGAGGGCGGAGAAGUAGAAGGAAAUGGGAGGAGAAGAGGAGUGGAAUUAGAAGAAAAAG